GCGGACAAGUACCGUGAGGGAAAGGUGAAAAGUACCCCUGGCGGGGAGUGAAAUAGUACCUGAAACCGUGUGCCUACAAUCCGUCGGAGCCCGGCUGCCCCUUGUGGGUGUUGGGGUGACGGCGUGCCUUUUGAAGAAUGAGCCUGCGAGUUUGCGUUGUGUUGCGAGGUUAACCCGUGUGGGGGAGCCGUAGCGAAAGCGAGUCCGAAUAGGGCGAUUGAGUAGCACGAUCAAGACCCGAAGCGGAGUGAUCUAUCCAUGGGCAGGUUGAAGCGCGGGUAAGACCGCGUGGAGGACCGAACCCACUUAGGUUGAAAACUGAGGGGAUGACCUGUGGAUAGGGGUGAAAGGCCAAUCAAACUCCGUGAUAGCUGGUUCUCCCCGAAAUGCAUUUAGGUGCAGCGUUGCGUGUUUCUUGCCGGAGGUAGAGCACUGGAUAGCCGAUGGGCCCUACCAGGUUACUGACGUUAGCCAAACUCCGAAUGCCGGUAAGUGAGAGCGCAGCAGUGAGACUGCGGGGGAUAAGCUCCGUAGUCGAGAGGGAAACAGCCCAGACCAUCAGCUAAGGCCCCUAAGCGGUGACUAAGUGGAAAAGGAUGUGGAGUCGCAGUGACAACCAGGAGGUUGGCUUGGAAGCAGCCACCCUUGAAAGAGUGCGUAAUAGCUCACUGGUCAAGUGAUUCCGCGCCGACAAUGUAGCGGGGCUCAAGUCAUCCGCCGAAGCUAUGGCAUUCACGCGUAAGCCAAGCCGCCCUUGAGGUUGGUUCAGGUGUGUGGAUGGGUAGGGGAGCGUCGUGUCGCGAGUGAAGCUCCGGAGUGAUCCAGGGGUGGAUGCGACACGAGUGAGAAUGCAGGCAUGAGUAGCGAAUGCAAUGUGAGAAACAUUGCCGCCGAAUGAUCAAGGGUUCCAGGGUCAAGCUAAUCUGCCCUGGGUAAGUCGGGACCUAAGGCGAGGCCGACAGGCGUAGUCGAUGGACAACGGGUUGAUAUUCCCGUACCGGCAAAGUAGCGCCCAUGACGAACCCGGUGAUGCUAACCACCCGAAACUCAGGUGACCGGACCCUUCGGGGCGAGGCGCUUGAGCGGAGCGUGGGACCCGAUCUGGUAGUAGUCAAGCGAUGGGGUGACGCAGGAAGGUAGCCCAACCGUGGCGAUGGUUGUCCACGGGUAAGGAUGUAGGGGGCGGUCUAGGCAAAUCCGGACCGCUGGCUUCGAUGCCGGCCCUGAGAUCCGAUGCCGAUCCAACUGGAGUAGUGGGUGAUCCUAUGCUGUCGAGAAAAACCUCUAGCGAGCUACGCGCCGCCCGUACCCCAAACCGACUCAGGUGAUCAGGUAGAGAAUACCAAGGCGAUCGAGCGAACCAUGGUUAAGGAACUCGGCAAAAUGCCCCCGUAACUUCGGGAGAAGGGGGGCCGGAUCCGUCACUCACCUUGCGUGAGGAAGCGGUGAAGGCCGCAGAGACCAGGCCCAAGCGACUGUUUACUAAAAACACAGGUCCGUGCGAAGUUGUAAGACGAUGUAUACGGACUGACUCCUGCCCGGUGCUGGAAGGUUAAGGGGACCGGUUAGAACGCAAGUUCGAAGCUGAGAACUUAAGCCCCAGUAAACGGCGGUGGUAACUAUAACCAUCCUAAGGUAGCGAAAUUCCUUGUCGGGUAAGUUCCGA
rnacentral:rRNA from 1 species